CAGUAGGGAAUCUUCCGCAAUGGACGAAAGUCUGACGGAGCAACGCCGCGUGAGUGAUGAAGGUUUUCGGAUCGUAAAGCUCUGUUGUUAGGGAAGAACAAGUACCGUUCGAAUAGGGCGGUACCUUGACGGUACCUAACCAGAAAGCCACGGCUAACUACGUGCCAGCAGCCGCGGUAAUACGUAGGUGACAGCGUUGUCCGGACUUAUUGGGCGUAUCGGGCUCGCAGGCGGUUUCUUAAGUCUGAUCUGAAAGCCCCCGGCUCAACCGGGGAGGGUCAUUGGAAACUGGGGAACUUGAGUGCAGAAGAGGAGAGUGGAAUUCCACGUGUAGCGGUGAAAUGCGUAAAGAUGUGGAGGAACACCAGUGGCGAAGGCCACUAUCUGGUCUGUAGGUGACCCUAAAAAGCGCAAGCGUGGCAGAGAAAAGGAUUAUGGGCCUGGUAUUCGGGGCCCCAGGGGAAGAAUGCUGUGUGUAUAAACCCACCCCCAUUCAUGAGCAUCCAUUUUUUUCCAAAAGGCA
rnacentral:rRNA from 1 species